UACGUAGGUGGCAAGCGUUAUCCGGAAUUAUUGGGCGUAAAGAGCGCGCAGGUGGUUAAUUAAAUCUGAUGUGAAAGCCCACGGCUUAACCGUGGAGGGUCAUUGGAAACUGGUUGACUUGAGUGCAGAAGAGGGAAGUGGAAUUCCAUGUGUAGCGGUGAAAUGCGUAGAGAUAUGGAGGAACACCAGUGGCGAAGGCGGCUUCCUGGUCUGUAACUGACACUGAGGCGCGAAAGCGUGGGGAGCAAACAGG
rnacentral:rRNA from 1 species